rnacentral:sRNA from 1 species
CUCUAGCCCUGAUGGAAGUGAAAAUCCUUUUUAUCCUGAAUUUAUUUCAGGACAAAAAGAUUGUAGCGCACAGCAGGACAAUUG